AGAUUGAACGCUAGCGGGAUGCUUUACACAUGCAAGUCGAACGGCAGCGCGGACUUCGGUCUGGCGGCGAGUGGCGAACGGGUGAGUAAUAUAUCGGAACGUGCCCAGUAGCGGGGGAUAACUACGCGAAAGCGUGGCUAAUACCGCAUACGCCCUACGGGGGGAAAGGGGGGGAUCGCAAGACCUCUCACUAUUGGAGCGGCCGAUAUCAGAUUAGCUAGUUGGUGAGGUAAAGGCUCACCAAGGCGACGAUCUGUAGCUGGUUUGAGAGGACGACCAGCCACACUGGGACUGAGACACGGCCCAGACUCCGUACGGGAGGCAGCAGGUGGGGAAUUUUGGACAAGUGGGGGAAACCCUGGAUCCAGCCAUCCCGCGUCGUGCGAUGAAGGCCGUUCGGGUUGUAAAGCUACUUUUGGCAGGAAGAACGGUCGUACCGUUUAAGACGGGCGUCACGUGACGGUAACC
rnacentral:rRNA from 1 species